rnacentral:rRNA from 1 species
AAUAGAUACCCGGGUAGUCCACGCCGUAAACGAUGAGUGCUAAGUGUUAGGGGGUUUCCGCCCCUUAGUGCUGCAGCUAACGCAUUAAGCACUCCGCCUGGGGAGUACGGUCGCAAGACUGAAACUCAAAGGAAUUGACGGGGGCCCGCACAAGCGGUGGAGCAUGUGGUUUAAUUCGAAGCAACGCGAAGAACCUUACCAGGUCUUGACAUCCCACUGACCGCUAUGGAGACAUAGUUUUCCCUUCGGGGACAGUGGUGACAGGUGGUGCAUGGUUGUCGUCAGCUCGUGUCGUGAGAUGUUGGGUUAAGUCCCGCAACGAGCGCAACCCUUGAUCUUAGUUGCCAUCAUUUAGUUGGGCACUCUAAGGUGACUGCCGGUGACAAACCGGAGGAAGGUGGGGAUGACGUCAAAUCAUCAUGCCCCUUAUGACCUGGGCUACACACGUGCUACAAUGGACGGUACAAACGGUUGCCAACCCGCGAGGGGGAGCUAAUCCGAUAAAACCGUUCUCAGUUCGGAUUGUAGGCUGCAACUCG